GGAUAUGAUGAAGCUUUUUUGACACCCAGUCUUAGUCCUAAUGGAAGCUGCUGAUUAAUUUAUUUUGAUCUGAUCC